rnacentral:rRNA from 1 species
UACGUAGGGCGCAAGCGUUAUCCGGAAUUAUUGGGCGUAAAGAGCUCGUAGGCGGUUUGUCGCGUCUGCCGUGAAAGUCCGGGGCUCAACUCCGGAUCUGCGGUGGGUACGGGCAGACUAGAGUGAUGUAGGGGAGACUGGAAUUCCUGGUGUAGCGGUGAAAUGCGCAGAUAUCAGGAGGAACACCUAUGGCGAAGGCAGCUCUCUGGGACGGUACUGACGCUGAGACGCGAAAGCGUGGGGAGCGAACAGG